rnacentral:rRNA from 1 species
UACGGAGGGGGCGAGCGUUAUUCGGAAUUAUUGGGCGUAAAGGGCGCGUCGGCGGCUGGUUAAGUCAAAGGUGAAAUCCCUCGGCUCAACUGAGGAACUGCCUUUGAAACUAGCGAGCUUGAGGCCGGGAGGGGGUAGCGGAAUUCCCAGUGUAGCGGUGAAAUGCGUAGAUAUUGGGAGGAACACCAGUGGCGAAGGCGCUACCUGGACCGGUUCUGACGCUGAGGCGCGGAAAGCGGUGGGUAGCAAACGAGG